rnacentral:rRNA from 1 species
AACGCGAAUAACCUUACCAGGGAUUGACAUGACGGUAGUAGUGAAGCGAAAGCGGAACGACCCUUCGGGGAGCCGUCACAGGUGAUGCAUGGCUGUCGUCAGCUCGUGCCGUGAGGUGUUUGGUUAAGUCCACUAACGAGCGCAACCCCUAGUGCCAGUUACAAGUGUCUGGCGCGACUGCCGGUAUUAAGCCGGAGGAAGGUGGGGAUGACGUCAAGUCAGCAUGUCCUUUAUACCCUGGGCGACACACACGCUACAAUGGCCAGCACACUGGGUCGCCAAGCCGUGAGGCGGAGCCAAUCCUAAAAAGCUGGUCUCAGUUCGGAUUGCAGGCUGCAACCCGCCUGCAUGAAGUCGGAGUUGCUAGUAACCGCAGGACAGCUAUACUGCGGUGAAUACGUUCCCGGGUCUUGUACACACCG